CCUACGGGUGGCAGCAGUGAGGAAUAUUGGUCAAUGGCCGAGAGGCUGAACCAGCCAAGUCGCGUGAGGGAAGACGGCCCUAUGGGUUGUAAACUUCUUUUGUAGGGGAGUAAAAAGUGUCACGUGUGGCUCAUUGAGUGUACCCGAUGAAAAAGCAUCGGCUAACUCCGUGCCAGCAGCCGCGGUAAUACGGAGGAUGCGCGCGUUAUCCGGAUUUAUUGGGUUUAAAGGGAGCGCAGGCGGAGGUGUAAGUCAGCGUGAAAAUUGCGGGGCUCAACCCCGUACUGCCGUUGAAACUGCAUCCCUUGAGUGCGGGAGAGGUAUGCGGAAUGCGUGGUGUAGCGGUGAAAUGCAUAGAUAUCACGCAGAACUCCGAUUGCGAAGGCAGCAUACCGGCGCGCAACUGACGCUGAGGCACGAAAGCGUGGGUAUCGAACAGGAUUAGAUACCCGGGUAGUC
rnacentral:rRNA from 1 species